rnacentral:rRNA from 1 species
UACAGAGGGUGCGAGCGUUGUCCGGAAUCACUGGGCGUAAAGGGCGCGUAGGUGGCGCGACAAGUCAGUGGUGAAAGCUCGACGCUCAACGUCGAGUCGGCCACUGAUACUGUUGGGCUGGAGCACUGUAGAGGCUAAUGGAAUUCCGGGUGUAGCGGUGGAAUGCGUAGAGAUCCGGAAGAACACCGGUGGCGAAGGCGGUUAGCUGGGCAGUUGCUGACACUGAGGCGCGACAGCGUGGGGAUCAAACAGG